rnacentral:rRNA from 1 species
UGGGGAAUUUUGCACAAUGGGGGAAACCCUGAUGCAGCGACGCCGCGUGAUUUAGAAGGCCUUCGGGUUGUAAAAAUCUUUUUUACGGGAUGAAAAUGACAGUACCGUAAGAAUAAGGUCCGGCUAAAUACGUGCCAGCAGCCGCGGUAAUACGUAUGGACCGAGCGUUGUCCAGAAUCAUUGGGCGUAAAGGGUACGUAGGCGGCCUAGUAAGUUAGAAGUGAAAUAAUAUAGCUCAACUAUAUAAAGCUUUUAAAACUGCUAGGCUUGAGAGAUGGAAGGGAAAGUGGAAUUCCUAGUGUAGCGGUGAAAUGCGCAGAUAUUAGGAAGAAUACCGGUGGCGAAGGCGACUUUCUGGUCAUCAUCUGACGCUGAGGUACGAAAGCGUGGGUAGCAAACAGG